AGGACGAACGCUGGCGGCGUGCCUAACACAUGCAAGUCGAGCGGGGACAUACGACGGAACCAAAGUUUCGGAUGGAGGUGAAGAUGUAUGUUCUAGCGGCGGACGGGUGAGUAACGCGUGAGCAACCUGUCCCUUACAGGGGGAUAACACAGCGAAAGUUGUACUAAUACCGCAUGAGACCACGGGGAGACAUCUUUCAGGGGUCAAAGGAGCAAUCCGGUAAGGGGUGGGCUCGCGUCCGAUUAGAUAGUUGGUGAGGUAACGGCCCACCAAGUCGACGAUCGGUAGCCGACCUGAGAGGGUGAUCGGCCACAUUGGGACUGAGACACGGCCCAAACUCCUACGGGAGGCAGCAGGUGGGGAAUAUUGGGCAAUGGGGGGAACCCUGACCCAGCAACGCCGCGUGAGGGAAGAAGGUUUUCGGAUCGUAAACCUCUGUCCUUGGUGAAGAGUAAGAGACGGUAGCCAAGGAGGAAGCCCCGGCUAACUACGUGCCAGCCGCUGC
rnacentral:rRNA from 1 species